ensembl:lncRNA
AAAAAUCAGACAUUUGAGUCUGUGAACAUGCAACUGUCUCCUUUUCUUUUGCUUCCAGUAGAGCACACCCCCUAUCACCUAAAAAGGCAAGAGUGCAACUGCUAAACGCUACACUGUCUAAGAAUAAACCAGGCUUGCAGUGUCUAAGGUUACCUUGAAGCACCCCAGCAUUUCUCCCGUCUCACGCUCAUGUGAGGCACCAAUAACAUGGGCUAAAUUACCAGCACUUAUUUGCUGCAUCCCCUGCAAGAGCCUGAACUCCCCUGUUUACGGCCAUGCCCUAACAUCCCAUUCUCCCCCAGCCAUGAUCUCAAAUCCGGCACUUUGAAAACCCUCAUCCUGCUUUUCUCACAAGAUUGUGAGGAUUCACCUGUGGAUUAAAUGGGGACAACAAAAAAGAACAUCUUUUCCUGAGUGGGAUUUAACAUCAACUGGGUGAAACGGUCCAAAUAAGAUUGGGAUACACAAGCGAAAUCAAAGGACACUCGGCUGAAGUACCACCAUGGCUCAGGCAACUAAAGGUCCCGUGGUGAAGUCCAUCCCUCCCACUGGUGUAGCUGCCCCGGCUAGAACAGCACACACAGACUCACUUACUGCCGGGAGCCAUGGAAUUUUACGAAUCAUGAAUCGCCCGGCACAGUGGGUGGUCAUCAUCACACUUCUGAUUUCUUGGUCAAUAGCAGGUGUUGUCAUGUUUGAUUUUGUCAGUGACGAUCAGAUUGCAAGCAUCCAGGAUUUUGGCUCUGAUCCAGUGCUAGCAGUGAGCAAGGCCAUCGAAGGCAUUGAAAACUGGAUAAACCAUAUGAACGAUAUGCUUUAUGAUGCUCACGAGUACAUCACUGAAAUAAUAUUUAAUCCGAGGGAAGCUAUUAGUUUAGCAGCUGACUCAUCUGUGUCUUAUCUGUCAGGAAUAUUUAGUGCUGAUGGAGAUUCAGGAGUCACUGAAACAGUGAAAUAUGGUGGCACUGUAUUGGAUGAGGCUACAGAAUGGAUCAGAACCCCAGUGAGCUACUUAUUCCACUUGUUUGAAGACAUAUUGGAUAUAGUGAUUACUCCAGUGGAUAUGGUCACUGAAGUUGCUGUGCAAAUUUUAAGUGGGAUCAAGACCAUUAUACAAUAUAUUUCAACCAUGUUUGGGGGCAUUGAAGGGGAUACAGGCAUCACUGAAACAGUGAAACUUGGUGGUACUUUAUUGGAUGAGGUUACUGAAUGGAUCAGAUUCCCAGUGGGCUACUUAUUCCACUUAUUUGAAGGCAUCUUGGAUGUAGCAAUCAUUUAUCCAGGGGACAUUGCCACUGAAGCAGUUCUGCAAAUUUUAAGUGGGAUCAAGACCAUUUCUUCAACCAUAUUUGGAUACCUUGAAGGUGGUAUUCCUGACAUUAGCUUUGAUCCCAUGAAAGUUGUCACAGACACUGUUGAGGAGUUUGCUGACAGGAGGGAUAUGUUCUUGGCCUAUCUCUCCAACAUGGAAGACAAAGAUGACACACCGCAAGUGAUAAGACGGAAAGGAGAAUUUCUGCCCCCUAUGGAAAAAGUUCUUGAACAAGUGAAAGAAGCCAAAGAGAAAAAAGCUAGAGAGGAGAUAUACAAAAUCAUUCAAGAUAUGAGGGAAAAGAAGGCUGAAAGUAAAGAGGAAGAGAUAACACUGCAACGAAUAAACAUAACAGUAGAAAAAGUCAAGAAGAAAAAGGAGAUAGAAAAGGCUAAAAGAAAAGAAAAAUCCAAAGAGGACAAGACUCGAGAACCAACAGAAAAGGACACCAAGAAAAAAACUGAGAAAAAGGUCAAGGUGACUAAAGUGGGCGAGGAACCCCCUCUAAAAAAGAAGAAAUCUGAAGCUAAAAUGGCCAAAAAAGAGACCAAACUAGCAACAUCUAAGAAAGAGCCUCGAGUUACAAAAGAAAAGGCUAAACCAGCUCGUUCAAAGAAAGAAGCUGAAGUUGCUGUUAAAAAACUAAAACACGCUCCUGCAAAGAAAGAGCCUGAGGUUUCCAAAGAGAAGGCCAAGCUGAAGCCCUCAAAGAAAGAAGCUAAAGCUCCCAAGGACAAAAUUAAACCGGCCCUUUUGAAGAAAGAGCCUGAUGUUUCUAAGGAGAAAGAAAAACCACCAACUGCAAAGAAAGAAGAAAAGCCAACAACCGCUAAAAAAGAGCCUGCAGUUGCAGAAGAGAAAGUCAAACCAGUGCCCUCAAAGAAAGAUACUAAAGCUAUUAAGGAGAAAGUGAAACCAGCCCCAGUUAAGAAAGAGCCUGAGGUUUCCAAAGAAAAAGCCAAGCCAAAACGUUUAAAGAAAGAGGCUAAAUCUGUUGAAGAGAAGGCAAAACCAGCACCAGCUAAAAAAGAGAAGGAGAAACCUCCAAAGAAAGCUGUAAAAGAAAAGCCCAAACCUGCUUCUGUAAAGAAAGAACCUAAAUUUCCAAGAGAGAAAGCAAAACCUAAACCUUCCAAAAAAGAGGCAGAAGUUGCCAAAGACAAGCAUAAACCUGUCACUGUGAAGAAAGAACCUGCUGUUGCAGUUGAAAAGGCAAAACCGAAACCUGCACCAAAGAAAGUUACCAAAGAGAAAGCUAAACCAGAACCUGCAAAGAAAGAACCUGAGAUAACCAAAGAAAAACCGAGAGCACCAAAGAGAAAGGCUCAAGUUAUUAAGGAGGAAGCUAAACCAGCUCCUGCAAAAAAAGUCUUCAAAGAUGUUAAACCAGCCCUUAAGAGAAGAGAGGCUAAAGUAAUGAAGAAGAAAGUUAAACCGACUCCUGUAAAGAAAGAGCCUGAAGUUGCUAAAGAAAAGGCACCUGAAUCAGCACCAAGAAUAGAAAAGCCAAAGCCAGCACCAAAGAUAGUGGCUAAAGUCAUCAAGGAGAAACCUAAACCAGUUCCUGAGAAGAAAGAAGCUGUAAUCAUCAAAAAGAAAGUUAAACUGGCUCCAGUAAAGAAAGCACCUGAGAUAAUCAAAGAAAAGCCAAAGCCAGCACCAAAGAAAGAGGCUGAAGUCAUCAAAGAGAAAGCUAAACCAACUCCUGAAAAGAAAGUCAUCAAGGAGAAACCUAAACCAGUUCCUGAGAAGAAAGAAGCUGUAAUCAUCAAAAAGAAAGUUAAACUGGCUCCAGUAAAGAAAGGUAUGGAUGACAGUGAAAUCACCCUGCAUAUGCGUUUUUUUUUUUUUUUUUUUUUUUGCUGUAUAAUGAUUGUUCAUUACAUGAAUUAAACGGGUUUAUAGAGCCUGAAGUUGCUAAAGAAAAGGCCCAUCGACCGGCACCAAAAAUAGGUUUUCCCAUUGGAAAAAUGAGUAAAAAUACUCAGCAUUUCAAAGGCUAAAUAUAUUAAGAAUUUAUUGUAGUCCUUUGUUUGAAACUGAAAAAUCAGACUGAUUUUCUAAAAUGGUUUGGUUUGAAGUUAAAACCCCAUAUUUUACAGCACCUGAGAUAGUCAAAGAAAAGCCAAAGCCAGCACCAAAGAAAGGUACUGUCAUUUAUUUUUGAAAGACAAUGUCAAAACAUUUUUUUUUCAUAUUUUGGCCAGUUUUAAAAGAAUGGUAAUGAUUUAAAUAUUUUAUAUUAUCAUGAUUUUAGAGGCUGAAGUCAUCAAAGAGAAAGCUAAAGCAACUCCUGAAAAGAAAGAGACCGAAGUCAUCAAGGAGAAAGUUAAACCAGCCCCUGUAAAGAAAGUUAAAGUUCCAAAGGAAAAGACAAAACUUGUCCUUGAAGCAAAGGAACCCAAAAUAACUAAGGAAAAGCCAAAGCCAGCACCAAAGAAAGAAGCUUUAGUCAUCAAAGAGAAAGCUAAACCAGCCCCUGUGAAGAAAGAGUCUGAAAUUAUCAAGGAAGAAAGAAAGAAAGCUAAACCAGCUCCUAAGAAGAAAGUGGCUGAAGUCACCAAGGAGAAAGCUAAGCAAGCUCCGAUGAAGAAAGAGCCUGAAGUCACUAAAGAAAAGUUAUUAGAACCAACUCCAAAAAAAGAGCUCCUGAACUCUAUCAGCCAAAAACUGUCUCUUCUGGAUUUACUGAGGAAGGACAUUGGUGAAAUGAAGAGUGAUCUGGAGUCCACUCAAAAUCAAAUUACGCUUUUACGAAUGGACAACAGAACAAUCAAAGAGCCAAAGACUGUUGGUGUAAAGGUAAAACCAGCAGUCUCCAAGGAAAAGGUCAAAACAGCAAAAAAAGACCAUGAUGCUCUGAUGAACGUUACAGCACAUAUUAAAGCAGAAGCUGAAAUCAUCAAAAAGAUAAAAGAUAAAGUUAAACUGGCUCCUUUAAAGAAAGAACGUGAUGCACUGAAAAACAUCACUAAACCAGCACCUGCAAAGAAAGAUAAAGAGGCUCCAAAAGCUAAGAUCAGACCACAGCCCAAAAAGAAAGAAAUCACCCAUGAGAAGGUCAAACAAGUAAAGGAACCUUUACAGAAAGUCGAGCCAACUAAGAAGGAGGCUGUUGUGGGCAAGGAAGUAAAAGGAGAAGAACCUGAUGUCUCCAAAGAUAUUCCAGAGAUGGAGGAUGAGGAUGUUCCCUACUUCCAGUGUUUCUUUGUGGAUGAGGAUGAUACUCAGUAUCCAUUCUUCCCCUUUUCACCACCGCUGUGGUGAAACUAGCCAAACCUCGUAUUCUGAUGUUAAACAACAUGGCAAAGCCAGUGAAGACGGACCUCUGAACGCUCUGAUGCAGUGGAGAGCUUCACAGUAGGUCCUACAGCAUUACACCAGCAAUGACCAAGAAAUGUGAAAGAGAUUUAAGUUACUUCCUGGAUCUUAAAACUCGAAAACUUCCUUCUCAGAUUCUUUGUCAUUUUGAAGAACAGAGUUUGCAAAUAUUGCGCUAUUUAUUAUAUCAUCUUAAGGCUAUCCAUCUUUUUAUUAAUACCAUGGAUUUGCCUUUUGUUUCUGAAUGAUUACUAUCUAUUUAUGAUUAAUAUAUAUGUCCAAGAAGGACAGGAAGAAAUGAAAGAACUAACUUCCUUUCUGAACAUGCAGUGGGGUUCAGGAUUGUAAGAUUAUAUAGUCUUUUAUAUAAACAUGAGGCGUGACCUCGUUUUGAUGGGGUGCUAAUUCUAAGCAUUCCACUGUGUUUUCUGUCAGAAUGGGGUUUGGAAGUUGUUCACGGUUCGUACAACUGGAAGGAAGGAUAUAAUAAAACAAGAAAUAUGUAAACUAUUUCAUAUAUCCUUUCUUAGUGAUACCGUUUACUAAACUGUUUACAGAAGUAACAGCUGCACUGAGAAAUACGGGCUUUGGACCGUAAGCUCAGUUCCUCAGAAUGUAUACAUCAUUUUAUUUAUAUAUUAUUUUUAUUUUGUUUUAUUCCUCUCUCUUUUUUAGCUUUCCAUACAUUUUACUUAAUAUAACUUGCCAAAUGUUUUAUAAAUCUAUACUUCAGAGGAAACAAAUAUGUUUUGUUCAGUGCUCUUUAUAAAUGAUUUUGCAUAACAAAAUUAAGAUAAGCUGUUGUGCUAAAUCCAAGAAAAAGCAUCAAACAUCAAGGCAACUACGUUGUUCUAGUAUAUCACAUUGCAAACACUACUGUUUUUACUUUUAUCUGCAUAACAUUAAUAGUUUAUUUAAGAUAAUGUCUGUAAAAAUGUGGGUGUGUUUUUGCAAUAUUACAUGGAUAGACCUACCUAAUAGAGAAGAGACAAUUAAAUAGCAUUCUGAAUUGUGUAACAAAAAUUGUCUGUUCCACAUUAUACUCAUACAGAAGAUUUUUUUUUAUUAUUAUGGGAUAAUGUGUCAAAUUAAAUUUAUUGCAUGCAACCACCGUGUGUUUCAACACUGCCCCUGGUGGCUCCCUGGCUCAUUACUCCAUUGCUUGAUUUAAUGAUAUUGAGUGUUUAAUGGUAUGUACUAGUGAGACACACCAUUAAACUAGUGUGCCGGUGGGCUGCCCUGGAGACAUUUCUUUUACUGCCACUGUCUUUUCUGUAUGAGUUCAGCAUGUGGCUCCAUUGAACAUAAACUCAUGUCUGUACAAAGAGCUUUUUUACCUCUGAUGUUAAGUAACUUAGGGUGAUCGUACGUUCUGUUUUUCCCAGACAUGUCCUGGCCAGGAUUUCUAAAUUGCCUAAAAUGUCAUUUUUUUGACUUUCUGAAGGUAAUGACUGUAAAGUAGUUUCACCAGCAUGCAGGCAUUGUGCUUAAUCGACCAGUUGUGGCCUGCGAGAAGGUGGGAUCUACAGAGAAGAGUCAAAGCAGUGCAAAUACAUGUACACAUAAUGUCUGAGGACUCUAGAGAGGAAACGCCAAAACCUGGACAUUUUAGGCAAUGUAGAAAUCCCGAUCAGGAUAUGUCUGGCAAUAAGAGGAUGUAUAGUCAACUGUACAAAUACAUAUUGUAGCAAUGCUCACUUGUAACAGAUAUACAGGUCUUUUUUGGACUUUUUUGGACUUUUCAAGUAAAUUAUGAGCUUGUUGGUGUGUUCUCAAGCAAACUGUGAAGCAAUGAAUAACAGCAUUUUUCAAUAGUUCAUAUAGUUCUUUAAGAUAUGUGUACUGUUAUUUUAAACCUAAUUUACAGUUCAUAUUUGAAAAAUGUUCCUCAAAGAUAAUAGUUUGCAUGAUGUUUGCAUGAAUUUUGUUUAAAAAUGUAUCUAAACCAGACCAUAUUUAAUUUGUGUGUGUUUUUAAUUGGAAUUACAUAAUUUCAUUGAAAAUGUAUAAUGUAAUAUUAUAUUCAUUUGGGUUUGUUUGUUUUUUUGCAUGGUUUUGAAGUUAGAUGUUGAAAACAUUCUCUGUACAAUGUAUAGCCAUAAACUGAAAUCAUAUUUAUAAAGCUCUAAACAGAAUCAACAAUAUGGUCUCCAGUCAAAAAAAAAAAGGCCUGUAUGCAACUGUAAAUGCUAUUGUAACUGUAAUACAGACUUGAUACAGUCUGAUUUAAGUUUUAGAAUAAAUAAAUGUUUGCAAUAAUCAC